UAACUUAAACAUAAAGACAUCAAUUCGAUCGAUUAUAACCCUAAACUACACUAAACAUGAAGUUUUCUGAAUUUUUGGGAAAUUUUAACAAAAAUUGAAACAAACAUAGAAGAAUAGAGUUCGAAAAAAUUAAAUAAAAUACCAAAAGAAAAAAAAUGAGUAUGAGAAGAAUAUACUUGGAGUCGAGACUCUUCAAUUUCCUGUAGAGAUGUCCUCAAUUUGUUUUAGAUUUUCACCAAAGGUCGAGAAGGCGAUUUUGUGUGAGAAAGGAAACAACAGGGGCGUUAAGGAAAUGGGUGGUGGAAAACAAAUGGAUGGCUCAAAAAUAAACAACUUUAUCAAUCAAGAAUUUUCUGAAGCAGAACUGGCAUUAAAACAGCUUUAUCAAUCAAGAAUUUUCUGAAGCAGAACUGGCAUUAAAAAGCUGUAAAAUGGUAAUACUUGCCCACACAAGUUCAAGAGGAAAUUCAAAUUCUAAAAAUUUAAAACAAAAAUAUAAAAUAAAUUAUGUUUCAGCUCAUAUCAAUAAAUUCAACCCUUAUUCAAGUUCAUACUUCAAGUAUCAUAAAUCUCAGAAGCGCAGAUAACCAGCCAAAAUCAAACUCUAAAAAAAUACGGAAUUCGAGCCUUUUAACUGGUACUGGUGUAGUUUUUGCACGAGCAUCUGGGCUUCUUCAAGAUUAUACCUCCUUGCCGGCCCAAAAAUUUACGAGCUGUCCAACAGCGAGCAAUACGCAUAGGAGAACUUCGAAGUCAAAGAGUUUUAGGUGAAUUUAUAGCACAUAACGAGGAUUUUGAGUGAAAAAAUUUUGUGGCAUUUUUGGGGGCGGGGAAUAGUCUAGGGUUUCAGUACAUUACAAUCCCACGCAAAGUGAAAGAGAUAAAUGAAAUAGAGGAAAUUAGGUCCAGUACGGCCCAUAAGGAACAAAAUUGAAUAAUACACUUUAAGCUAGUUAAAUAAUACAGAACGUAAUUAAUGCGUCAAAAAUCUCCCAAAAUGUUAAGAGAGAGAACGAUUGGUGUUUC
rnacentral:lncRNA from 1 species